rnacentral:rRNA from 1 species
AGGGUGUAAACGCUGCAGACUUGGUGUUGGAAGUCCUUUGGGGGCAUUCAGUGCCGGAGAGAAGUUGUUAAGUCUGCUACUUGGGGAGUACGUCCGCAAGGAUGAAACUUAAAGGAAUUGGCGGGGGAGCACCGCAACGGGAGGAGCGUGCGGUUUAAUUGGAUUCAACGCCGGACAUCUCACCGGAUAAGACAGCUGAAUGAUAGUCGGGCUGAAGACUCUACUUGAUGAUCUGAGAGGAGGUGCAUGGCGU